rnacentral:lncRNA from 1 species
AUGCAAAAGGGAAGGGUUUCAUUUUCCUGCUGUGCUGUCCAGCUUCUCCAUUGCUCCUGCCUGCCCUGUGAUGUAUGGGCCUUUUCAGGCAGCUUUGGCCUGACCCAGCCAGCCAAAAUCAGAGGAAAAUCUGGUUUUAUAUUGCCUGGGGAGAAUUCAUCACAGAAGGGUUGCUGGUUGCUGACACUACCAUGCCUCAAUCCAUCCCAUCAGCUCUGUGUGAAGAUGAUGAUGACCCCAUCCUGUUGGUCCCCUGAAGAUCUGGCCCUCAGGUUCAUUGCCAGACCCACAAGGAUCUAAAGGCUCUGAAAGACAUCCGCAGCACCCCAUUAUUUGGGUCAUUACACCAUCCCACCAAUUAAUCCUCAUUACCACAGCUAGUAUUUACUGUUGUGAAUAAGCUCAACUGUUCACAAUAGGUAGUUGCACUUCCAACCCCAAUAAUCAGGUGGCAGAUUCAUAAAAAUCAAG